rnacentral:tRNA from 1 species
GACUCGCUGGCGCAACGGUAGCGCGUCAGAUUCCAGUUUACAUGGGAUUUCCUGAAGGUUAAGGGUUCAAAUCCCUUGUGGGUCA